UUUGUAUUAUAUUAAAAUACUCAUAAAAACAGAAUAAAUUUGUUAAGAUUUAUUUUAAAUAUUUAUUAGAACUGAUCAUUUGAAUCAAUGUUAUGAACAUAUAGAAUUACCAGAGAAAUCAUUAGGUCUCUUAUCACUAUAUAUUUUGUAUGUUGUUACAGGACAUCUGUCACACCCAGUAGCUUACAUCCUGGGUCUCUGCUUGCGGAUAUUUGAUAGUAUUCAUGUCUAUAAGAAACAGAAGAGCACAGCUUGUGGCGGAAAUAAAGAUACAAUGUACCAACCUGUCAAGACUACCAAUCAUGCCUCUUAUUGUGGUUGACUCAUAUUCGUCACCAUUCUUCUGCCGGACUCUUAUAAUGAACUCCUGAAGAUAAUUAUCUAAUUCAGUUGGUGGAAUUUGUUAAACUUGCCUGUUUUUACCUUUGGAACUAAGAAAUGACUGCACUAGUGCAACAUUAGAGCGAGUUUUCAUUUCAGUUCUCUUAUUCUUUUGCAAAUCUCUAAAUGACUUGGCAUCAACAUUAAGAGGUGCAAA